rnacentral:rRNA from 1 species
AGUGAACGCUGGCGGUAGGCCUAACACAUGCAAGUCGAACGGCAGCACAGUAAGAGCUUGCUCUUACGGGUGGCGAGUGGCGGACGGGUGAGGAAUACAUCGGAAUCUACUUUUUCGUGGGGGAUAACGUAGGUAAACUUACUCUAAUACCGCAUACGACCUACGGGUGAAAGCAGGGGAUCUUCGGACCUUGCGCGAUUGAAUGAGCCGAUGUCGGAUUAGCUAGUUGGCGGGGUAAAGGCCCACCAAGGCGACGAUCCGUAGCUGGUCUGAGAGGAUGAUCAGCCACACUGGAACUGAGACACGGUCCAGACUCCUACGGGAGGCAGCAGUGGGGAAUAUUGGACAAUGGGCGCAAGCCUGAUCCAGCCAUACCGCGUGGGUGAAGAAGGCCUUCGGGUUGUAAAGCCCUUUUGUUGGGAAAGAAAAGCAGCAGGUUAAUACCACGCUGUUCUGACGGUACCCAAAGAAUAAGCACCGGCUAACUUCGUG